rnacentral:rRNA from 1 species
AUGACGGGCCUGGACCUGUCGAAUAACAAUUUUUCAGGACCGGUCCCUUCCGACAUUUUACAGCAGGUGCAGCAGCUGACAUCUCUGGAUCUUUCGUACAAUAGCUUUUCGGGACCAAUCCCAGAGAGCAUGUCAAAUAUGACAUAUCUGAAUCUCCUCAACCUUCAGCAUAACCAACUCAGCGGUCAAAUUCCACCGCAAUUCGAUUUGCUUACUCGGUUAACUACGUUCAAUGUUGCGGAGAACUUGUUAUCAGGGCCUGUUCCUACUUCGCUACAAAAGUUUUUGGCUUCAAACUUUGCUGGUAACCAAGGGCUUUGCGAUGCACCUUUAGAUGAGUGCUCCGCUUCGCCGGCCUUCACCGUUAGACCGGUACGAAUCAGGCUGCAGAGGCUCAACGACCAGUCGAACAUCGGAGCAGCCGUUGGAUUCAUCGUGUGGUUCGUGGUGACCUUCUACUUCCUGCAGUGA